AUAACCAACAUGACCAACCCAAAUGCACAGGGGCUGGCCGUGUGUAAACAUAGGCUGCUGUAUUAGUCUAACCAGGAUGCAUCCUGCCAGUGAUGGACUCCCCACCAUGUCUCUGCUGUGGGAUGUACCGUGUCCCUACCCGGCAUGGAACACAAACGUUCAGAGGAGCCCACGAGCACCGGAAGGAGCAGUGCAUAGAGAAGAGCAUGCAAGCCCUUUACUGCGGGACCUAGCAGUGCCUUUGAGAGGGUCUGAACAUGGUGAUCCAUCUGACUGUGAAGAGAAACUUCUGAAACUGAACCCAAGGGAACCCUUCCUCCUCCAAGUUAUUUAUGUCAGACAUUUUGCUGCAGAAACACAAAACAAGUAAUUAAAUAUUGGUACAGAGACAUGGGAUCAAA